AUUGAACGCUGGCGGUAUGCUUAACACAUGCAAGUCGAACGGCAGCAUAAGAGAGCUUGCUCUCUUGAUGGCGAGUGGCGGACGGGUGAGUAAUACAUAGGAAUCUGCCUUAUAGUUUGGGAUAACUACUCGAAAGAGUGGCUAAUACCGGAUGUGGACUACGGUUUAAAGCAGGGGAUCUUCGGACCUUGCGCUAUAAGAUGAGCCUAUGCAGGAUUAGCUAGUUGGUGGGGUAAAGGCUCACCAAGGCAACGAUCUUUAGCUGGUCUGAGAGGAUGAUCAGCCACACUGGGACUGAGACACGGCCCAGACUCCUACGGGAGGCAGCAGUGGGGAAUAUUGGACAAUGGGGGGAACCCUGAUCCAGCAAUACCGCGUGUGUGAAGAAGGCCUUCGGGUUGUAAGCACUUUUGUCAGGGAGAAUGUUUGUUGUGGUUAAUACCCAUAGCAAUUGAUGUUACCUGAGGAAUAAGCACCGGCUAACUCCGUGCCAGCAGCCGCCGUAA
rnacentral:rRNA from 1 species